ACUAGAGACCCUUCUUUUGGUGGACUUGUGAGUCAUAUCAAGCACUAACUGAAGGCGGGAAUAUCGGAGGCCUUCCGCAACCUUCGUGCGACCCUUCAAUCCACCAGUUCUCCAUCCGGAGUUCAUAUCCAAACCAGAUCCAGUCGAAUGAGCCGAUCUUAGGGUCUUUCACAUCCCCUCUAGAGAAUUGGAAUCCCGAAAAAGCACCAAAAAUUGAGUUAAAGCAAUUGCCCGCCGGACUAAAGUAUGCUUUUCUCUACAAUAAUUUUUAUCCCGU
rnacentral:lncRNA from 1 species